rnacentral:rRNA from 1 species
GAUGAACGCUGGCGGCGUGCCUAAUACAUGCAAGUCGAGCGAACGGACGAGAAGCUUGCUUCUCUGAUGUUAGCGGCGGACGGGUGAGUAACACGUGGAUAACCUACCUAUAAGACUGGGAUAACUUCGGGAAACCGGAGCUAAUACCGGAUGAUAUUUUGAACCGCAUGGUUCAAAAGUGAAAGACGGCCUCGCUGUCACUUAUAGAUGGAUCCGCGCUGCAUUAGCUAGUUGGUAAGGUAACGGCUUACCAAGGCAACGAUGCAUAGCCGACCUGAGAGGGUGAUCGGCCACACUGGAACUGAGACACGGUCCAGACUCCUACGGGAGGCAGCAGUAGGGAAUCUUCCGCAAUGGGCGAAAGCCUGACGGAGCAACGCCGCGUGAGUGAUGAAGGUCUUCGGAUCGUAAAACUCUGUUAUUAGGGAAGAACAUAUGUGUAAGUAACUGUGCACAUCUUGACGGUACCUAAUCAGAAAGCCACGGCUAACUACGUG